CCCUGUGAGAAGCCUCUGGGGAUCUCAGGAUUCUACCAGCAGGAGGAAGAGGAUCACACAUUCCUGUCCUGAUGUGGUGUGGGUGCAUACGCUGUCUCUCGUGAUCACUGUAAAUGUCCUUUGAAGCAAGAAAGUACUGACCUGAGGAAGAACCGAACCUGGCUUUCUAAGGAUGCUUUUGGAUGUCUUCGAGCAGGGAUGUUGAAUAUGAUUGUUAUUUACAGUCUUGGAGCUUUCAUCCUGAAGAGCCUGAACAAACAGCCAAUGAUAGGUGUGGAGCUGCUUGGCCUGGACCAGCCAGCCUUGGAUAGAGCAGACUGAAUACUUACCUCGUAUUGUGAUGGCCUGUUUCUGACCAGAUUGUGACAUCCAAGGUGGAUACAUUGCCUAGCCCAUUGUGGAGUAUUCCUGGACGCCUAUCCAUGCCAGAAACACAUA
rnacentral:lncRNA from 1 species